GCGAGGUGGCAGCCAUCUUGCGUACGGCGGUGCAGUUUCUCAGAUGCCGAGGGUUUGGGUUUUAGUUCCUCUGUGCUUUGGGGUGGUGUUUGUGCGUUGCUUUCACCUUUUCAGAUGUUCGUGUCUUUCUAGACCACGAUUUUAUUGGGAAGUAGAAGUGAAUGCAGUGUAAGAUGCCUUAUGGUGAAACUGAAGCGAAAUCCUUGGAUCUUCGUGAAGAACUGACAGGUGAACCAUGCUAUAAAAAAUUGAAGUCAGCUGAAGAGGCUUAUGUUUUUUCUCAUCUUGGUACUGCUGAUUUUCACAGAAUCCAAGAGAAAGCUGGGAAUGAUUGGGUCCCUGUGACCAUUGUUGAUGUCAAGGAACAUAGUUAUCUUCAGGAGGACAAAACCAAAAUUACAAACUCGGUGAAACCUGUGCAUGAUGAGAUGUCUGGCAAUAAUAGAUCAGAUGUUAUUGAAUCCAUUGAUACACAGAUUUUACAGGAUGCCAGUCCUGCAUUGGUAUCCAAAGAUGAUGAGAUAUAUAGCACAAGUAAAGCAUUUAUAGGACCCAUUUACAAUCCCCCUGAGAAGAAGAAAUAUAAUGAAAGGAGAAAUCACUCAGAAGUAGCCAGUGGUAUAGAUGGCAAAGGAGGACGAGAACAGAAACAGAAAUUCAACUCCAAAAAAUCAAAACUUGACAACGAAUUAUUCCAGUUUUACAAGGAAAUUGAAGAGCUUGAAAAUGAAAAAGAUGAUCUAGAAGGCAAUUGUGAAGAACCUGAGCACUCUGAAGAAAAACUUACUGUGUAUUAUCAGGACCAUAAUAAUGAGCUGUUAAAAUCUGAAGAAGUAAAGGAAAGAGAUAUUAGUAAUGUUCUUCAGUCGCAUUGUAGUUACCAACAGCGCAGGGAGAACGAGCCAGGCAAAUAUCCUUGUAAUGGACAAGUAAUACCUGCAUUUUGUGAUGAUUCCUUAACUUCCUUCAGGCCUGAAUGGCAAUCAGUGCAUUCUUUUAUAGUACCCCAAGGUCCUCCUUCUCCCAGUUUUAACUAUCAUUUAAAUAUGCAAAGAUUCAGUGCUCCACCAAAUCCAUCAUCAAAUAUUUUCCAUGUUCCAGAUGGGUCUCAGCAUCAAAAUGGGUAUUAUGUAAAUAGUUGUCACAUUAACUGGGAUUGUUUGACUUUUGAUCAGAACAAUGACUAUAUUGACUAUAGUGAGAAUACCGGUAGAGAUCAUUCCUUUUUUAAUGGCUACAGUGUGCAAGAUGGAUAUGUGAGUAAUGGUUUCUGUGAAACCAGGGAAGGAUGCUGGGAAGAUCCUUCUAUGGACAAGCAUAAUGGAAUAGACAGGCUUAAGAACCAGCAGUUUCAAGAGGAAAAGUUAAAUAAAUUGCAGAAGUUACUUAUUCUUUUAAGAGGUUUGCCUGGUUCUGGGAAAACAACGUUGUCUCGAAUUCUGCUUGGUCAGAGUCGUGAUGGCAUUGUGUUCAGCACUGAUGACUAUUUUCACCAUCAAGAUGGGUACAGGUAUAAUGUUAAUCAACUUGGUGAUGCCCAUGACUGGAACCAGAACAGAGCAAAACAAGCUAUCAAUCAGGGGAGAUCUCCAGUUAUAAUAGACAACACUAAUACACAAGCUUGGGAAAUGAAACCCUAUGUGGAAAUGGCCAUAGGAAAAGGAUACAGAGUAGAGUUUCAUGAACCUGAAACUUGGUGGAAAUUUGAUCCUGAAGAAUUAGAAAAGAGGAAUAAACAUGGUGUAUCUCGAAAGAAGAUUGCUCAGAUGUUGGAUCGUUAUGAAUACGAAAUGUCCAUCUCUAUUGUAAUGAAUUCAGUGGAACCACCACACAAAAGCACACAAAGACCUCCUCCUUCACAGGGGACACAGAGAGAAAGAGAUUUGAAGAAAACUGGGCACAGGCUCAGCAAAACCAAACAGAAGAGAAGCAGAAAAAGAAAUAAAAAGCAGAACAAUCAUAGUAAAAUCAUGGAGGAAAACUCACUUGAAACCGUAAGUUACCAUACGGUAGGAGAUCAGGACCCAUCUCAGAGUGAAGAGGAAGACAUCGAAGACACCAAAAGAGAAUCAGUGUGCACUUUCACUGGUGCACUGGGAAAUAAACGAGGAGAAUUAGUGAACAGCCACAAAGAUGAAGUAUGGAAAAGCAUAAAUCCUGAAGAUAGUUUUCCAAAUGUUGUAUCUGCAGUUGAGCUGGACAAUACAUUAAAAAAUGAUCUCCCUAGAGAAAACAAUGAUUUGUUUCUAAAUGUGUCACUGAUGCCAAAUGAAAACUCUGUGACUUGCCUGACAAUGACUCAGAAUCUUUCCUGCGUAAAAAGUGAUGACUGCUCUGGCACAAAGGUAGGAAAGCAUCCUGGAAAUAGGCAUCUCACGGCAUCAGACAUCCAGAGCGGAUCUGCUGACAUCCCCAGCUCAUUUAUGCAAAAGAGAGAGAAGGUAGAUAAAAGACUCCAAAAUGAAACAAUCCUGUGCCAUCAGUAUGCGUCCAGAACCUCAGAUAAAGGUUUAAGAACGGAACAAGGAGUAAGUGCAACUAAAAGCAGUUUUUGGGCUCUUUUUCCAAACAAUCUAUCUGAUGAAGAAUUACAGCCAGGCUCUGAGAGACAAUCCUGUUUGGGGAGCUGGCCUGAGGGACCUCAUAAGUUUAUAUGUGAACAAAGACCAAAGAAAGAUAGAUGGCAAAAAUUCACCUCUCCAGACAGCAGGGGACAAUUGAUUACAUUGAUCUCCACUUCCGAAGAAACUUCAGUACCAGGAAGCAGUCCAGAAACACUGGUAGAGGAGAAGCUUUUGAUAGAAAAUGAAGAUUUGUCACCUUCAACUGAGAAUACAAAUUCAAUCAUAGAAACAGAAACAAGUAUCUUUAGAAGCUGCUUGCCUAACCUGGAUAUCCCAAAGAGUGACUUACACUCAACAAAGAAUAAGAAAAGGAGAGAGAAACGGCUUUUCAAUUUGGCACCAAACUUUAACUUACUGGCACAGAGCUAUAUCGAUGUAAAAGAAAGAGGUGAAUGUGGCUUGUUAACAGAAAGCCAUGGACUAAAAAUUAUUUUGGAAGAAGAAAAAGACAGAAUUUCAGAAAUAUGUAAUGAAGAGGAGACCACACAAAAACUCACGACCUUUAAUCAUCACCCAUCAUGGUUUUACUUUGAUAUUAUCGAAGAUCCUCCUCUCAAUGUUGGUAGACGAUCUUAUUCUCAUUACCUGCCAUUUAAUAGAUACUCUGUAUAUUUUUACAAAAACCCUAUUCCUUCUCUUGUGCUACAAUAUACAUCUAGCUUUCGGAUGGCAUCCUUUACAAGCAAGAAAUCAUUUUUGACUUCCAAAUCUCAAACAAGAGUAGAUAACCAACCACGUGACAUGGGGUUUGUUUCUUCAGGAGUUUUAAGUAGCCAGCCUGAUCCUUUGUACUCUUUUAGGGUCACUUCUGAUCUUCACUUUGUAAAUGAAAGUUUUGAUGAGAAGCUGGAGACAUGGGAAGAACCUAAGCCGUUACAGUUCUUGCAAACUGAAGAUAACCAAGAUUUUACAAACCCCGGCGUUGAGUUCCUUGAGCUGCAAUUAUCACAAGGGUUUGCCUUUCAACUAGUAAAGCUUUUUGGAUCGCCUGGAGUUCCAAUGGAAUCUUUGUUGCCUGAUGACUGUGUGGUUUCCCUUGACUGGAAGACACUGAAGAUGAUCUAUUUACAAUGGAAGACAUCAGUUGAGUUGAAUUCUUCAGUCUUCCUGGUGCUGUUGAAGAUCCUACCCACCAAGAAAGAGCGCUCAGUGCCCACCCAAAGGAUUAUUUUCAGCGAUAUACUCGUGGGAUACCAAAAUUGGCUUGGAUAAUCUGUCCAACUGUUCUUGAUUAGUUAUCUGAAAAAUAAAAAACUCAACAAAAGAGGAUUUUAAUUCCUGGUUGACAUUUGGCUAACCAGAAGACUCCGGAUGAGAGACCAGCUUAUUAAAGAACAUCUCUCUAGGGACGACUGGCGUGAGCACUGGCCUGGGAGUCUGAAGAUUGGGCCUUUAGAUCCUCUUCAUCAUGAAAGCUGGUGAAUUUCGGCAAUCACCUAGCUUCUCUGGGACUUCUUUUCCUUACAUGUGACUACUAAGAAGGGAUUAGAUUAGGUGAUUUAUUGAAGAUCCUUCUGGCUCUUAAUUUCUAGUUGUCAGUCUGAAGAAUGGUUAGUUAACAAUGGCUAGGCAACAAGCUCUGACCUUGGAGUCAAUUUAUGGCUUCAAAUCCAAGCUCUGCCAUUCACUAUCUAUGACCUUUACUCAGCUCCUCUGCACCUUGGUUUCCUUUUCUGAUAUACAGGGAUAUCUGCUUUGUCCAUUUCAGAAGACUUGCAGAUGUUAAAAUGUGAGAGAACUUGCUACACUUUAAAGUGCUGUAUACAUCUUAUAAGGUGUUAGUUGCCGCUUCAGAUGUUGAUCAGCUGAGAUAAAUCUUCAAGGUGUUACCGGGGAGAAACCUGGCUCUGAAAUGCAGCAGGAGGCUGGAAGUUGACUUUGUUGUUCUCCGGUUCUCCGGUUCGGAGUUCUGGAGGCAGAGGAUCAUUGGCCCUGCUGUGGGAGGGGAGAGGGGUGACUUUUGCUUUUGUGUAGCAAUCUGGGAAGUAAGAAGGCAAACAGGCCACAGCUCAGCAAGGAGGAAGCCUUCGGUGAGGAUGAAAUGGUGUGGCGGACCUCAAGGACCUACCUUCCCCUCCUUUCUGGUGGGUCCGGUGGGGGAGAGAAGGAGAACGGCAAAUUGUUUAAAAAAUGUGCAUGUGGAGAAAGUAGUGAAACUGUAAGGCUAUCUCUUGUAUUGUUGGAUUCUGGGAAAUUCAUAUUUUCUUUAUUCUCUGUAUUUUCCAAAUUUUCUAAUAUGUAAUUUUUUAAAUCAGAAAAAUAAAAACAAGUUUUUAAAAA